GCAGUGUUUACCUUGAGGUUGAUGACUGGAAGGCUGUAGUCUGCGAAGCGUACAAUGCUAUCGAGGUUCUGAACCCUGGAUGCUAGGAAUGCUCGGAAAGUACCCCUUCUAAUGAACAUCGCUUAAUGCUUUGUGGAGUUGACAUUUGUAA